rnacentral:rRNA from 1 species
UUUGCCCUACGGGAGGCAGCAGUGGGGAAUAUUGCACAAUGGGGGAAACCCUGAUGCAGCGACGCCGCGUGAGUGAAGAAGUAUUUCGGUAUGUACAGCUCUAUCAGCAGGGAAGAUAAUGACGGUACCUGAGUAAGAAGCCCCGGCUAACUACGUGCCAGCAGCCGCGGUAAUACGUAGGGGGCAAGCGUUAUCCGGAUUUACUGGGUGUAAAGGGAGCGUAGACGGCAGCGCAAGUCUGGAGUGAAAUGCCGGGGCCCAACCCCGGCCCGCCGUUGAAACUGGCAGUCUCGAGUUGGAGAGAG